rnacentral:rRNA from 1 species
GACGAACGCUGGCGGCGUGCUUAACACAUGCAAGUCGAGCGGUAAGGCCCUUUCGGGGGUACACGAGCGGCGAACGGGUGAGUAACACGUGGGUGACCUGCCCUCAGCUCUGGGAUAAGCCCGGGAAACUGGGUCUAAUACCGGAUAUGACUUCAUGACGCAUGUUGUGGAGUGGAAAGCCUUGUGCGGCUGAGGAUGGGCCCGNGGCCUAUCAGCUUGUUGGUGGGGUGAGGCCUACCAAGGCGACGACGGGUAGCCGGCCUGAGAGGGCGACCGGCCACACUGGGACUGAGAUACGGCCCAGACUCCUACGGGAGGCAGCAGUGGGGAAUCUUGCGCAAUGGGCGAAAGCCUGACGCAGCGACGCCGCGUGAGGGA